rnacentral:piRNA from 1 species
UACAGCCUAACAUGGCCAACCUAUAGCUG